UUUUCUUCGCUCUUUUUACUAUAAAUAGAGGGCAUGAACCCUUUAGAAUAAUUUGAAAGUUGCACCCAUCGAAUUUGAUUCAGUCUGAGUCUCUUUUAUAAGUUACAUUGAUUGCCGAAUUGAAUACGAUGGGGAGAAAAAAACUCCUUUCUUAAAGUGUAUUUCAGAUUCUUUUUUCCUUUGAAAUGCCCCGUGGAAAGGAAAAAUAUCUAUUUUUCUUUAAAAAUUAAUUAAUCAACUUUGUUAAAAAUGAUCCACUCAGAGAAGUAGAACUUUGUUGUA